UGGGGAAUAUUGCACAAUGGGCGGAAGCCUGAUGCAGCGACGCCGCGUGAGGGAUGACGGCCUUCGGGUUGUAAACCUCUUUCAGUAGGGACGAAGCGUAAGUGACGGUACCUGCAGAAGAAGCACCGGCUAACUACGUGCCAGCAGCCGCGGUAAUACGUAGGGUGCGAGCGUUGUCCGGAAUUACUGGGCGUAAAGAGCUCGUAGGCGGUUUGUCACGUCGUCUGUGAAAUCCUAGGGCUUAACCCUGGACGUGCAGGCGAUACGGGCUGACUUGAGUACUGCAGGGGAGACUGGAAUUUCUGGUGUAGCGGUGGAAUGCACAGAUAUCAGGAAGAACACCGAUGGCGAAGGCAGGUCUCUGGGUAGUAACUGACGCUGAGGAGCGAAAGCAUGGGUAGCGAACAGG
rnacentral:rRNA from 1 species